AUUGAACGCUGGCGGCAGGCCUAACACAUGCAAGUCGAGCGAGCGUAGGACGGGUGAGUAAUGUCUGGGAAACUGCCUGAUGUAGGUGGAUAACUACUGGAAACGGUAGCUAAUACCGCAUACCAUCGGAUGUGCCCCGAUGGGAUUAGCUAGUAGGUGGGGUAAAGGCUCACCUAGGCGACGAUCCCUAGCUGGUCUGAGAGGAUGACCAGCCACACUGGAACUGAGACACGGUCCAGACGCCUACGGGAGGCAGCAGUGGGGAAUAUUGCACAAUGGGCGCAAGCCUGAUGAAGCCAUGACGCGUGUAUGAAGAAGGCCUUCGGGUUGUAAAGUACUUUCAGCGGGGAGGCGUUACCCGCAGAAGAAGCACCGGCUAACUCCGUGCCAGCAGCCGCGGUAAUAC
rnacentral:rRNA from 1 species